rnacentral:rRNA from 1 species
AUUGAACGCUGGCGGCAGGCCUAACACAUGCAAGUCGAACGGUAGCACAGAGGAGCUUGCUCCUUGGGUGACGAGUGGCGGACGGGUGAGUAAUGUCUGGGAAACUGCCCGAUGGAGGGGGAUAACUACUGGAAACGGUAGCUAAUACCGCAUAACGUCGCAAGACCAAAGAGGGGGACCUUCGGGCCUCUUGCCAUCGGAUGUGCCCAGAUGGGAUUAGCUAGUAGGUGGGGUAACGGCUCACCUAGGCGACGAUCCCUAGCUGGUCUGAGAGGAUGACCAGCCACACUGGAACUGAGACACGGUCCAGACUCCUACGGGAGGCAGCAGUGGGGAAUAUUGCACAAUGGGCGCAAGCCUGAUGCAGCCAUGCCGCGUGUAUGAAGAAGGCCUUCGGGUUGUAAAGUACUUUCAGCGAGGAGGAAGGCGUUGUGGUUAAUAACCGCAACGAUUGACGUUACUCGCAGAAGAAGCACCGGCUAACUCCGUGCCAGCCGCCGCG